AAAUAUGAAAAAUAGACCGUAGACAGCAGGUGCUUAUGCUUAAUUUCCUGCCGAGGUAGCGAUAAAUUUGAUUUGUUGACCUACUCGUUUGCGGAUGAGAAGGUCUUUUUU
rnacentral:sRNA from 1 species